rnacentral:rRNA from 6 species
AACGGCGAGUGAAGAGGGAAAAGCCCAAAUUUGUAAUCUGGCUCUUUCAGAGUCCGAGUUGUAAUUUUAAGAACUGUUUUCCGUGCUGGACCAUGUACAAGUCUGUUGAAAAACAGCAUCAUUGAGGGUGAAAAUCCCGUACAUGAUAUGGACUACCAGUGCAAUGUGAUACAGUCUCUAAGAGUCGAGUUGUUUGGGAAUGCAGCUCAAAGUGGGUGGUAAAUUCCAUCUAAGGCUAAAUAUAGGUGAGAGACCGAUAGCAAACAAGUACCGUGAGGGAAAGAUGAAAAGAACUUUGGAAAGAGAGUUAACAGUACGUGAAAUUGUUAAAAGGGAAACAUUUGAAGUUAGACUUGUUAUUGUUGGUUCAACUUCUUUAUUGAGGUGUAUUCCAAUGGUUAACAGACCAGCAUCAAUUUUUGGGUGUUGGAUAAGGGUUUAGGAAAUGUAGCAACCUUGGUUGUGUUAUAGUCCUUUACUUUGAUACAAUGCUUAGGAUUGAGGAACGCAGUAAGCUUUGUAGCAGAUUUCUUUGGAAAUCUUCUUACUA